CACGUAGUUAGCCGUGGCUUCCUCCUUGGCUACCGUCAUUAUCGUCACCAAGGACAGAGGUUUACAAUCCGAAAACCUUCUUCCCUCACGCGGCGUCGCUGGGUCAGGGUUUCCCCCAUUGCCCAAUAUUCCCCACUGCUGCCUCCCGUAGGAGUCUGGGCCGUGUCUCAGUCCCAAUGUGGCCGUUCAACCUCUCAGUCCGGCUACCAAUCGUCGGCAUGGUGGGCCUCUACCCCGCCAUCUACCUAAUUGGACGCGAGCCCAUCUCUCAGCGGAUUGCUCCUUUGAUUGCAAAACCAUGCGGCUCUGCAAUGUUAUGCGGUAUUAGCGAUCGUUUCCAAUCGUUAUCCCCCUCUGAAAGGCAGGUUGCUCACGCGUUACUCACCCGUCCGCCACUCGAAUAUGCCUUCCUCGGCCGAAGCCUUGUCCAGCAUAUCCCCGUUGACUUGCAUGUGUUAGGCGCGCCGCCAGCGUUCGUCCUGAGCCAGGAUCAAACUCU
rnacentral:rRNA from 1 species